rnacentral:lncRNA from 1 species
AUUGACCAAAUAUAGGCCCCAGGAUCCGUCACCCUUAGCCUAUAAAUAAAAACACCAUUUCAAUCCUGAUUUUAAGUUCUAAAUAAAUAAAUUGUGUUUUCUUAACUAUUUGCUUAGAGAAACUACAAAAAACAACAAAACAAAAAAUGGCAAAGAUCGCGUUCGUGUUGAUUCUCUCACUGGUGUUGCUUAUUUCAGUCCAUGCGGUGUUGGGUGAUGACAAUUUCAUGGAAACUGCCAAGGGUGCGGCCGAGAGCAUGUCUGAAUCUGCUUCGGAUGCCUUGAAGGAAGCAAAGGAGACAACAUCAACAUGGGGUGAUUGGUUUAAGGACAAAUUCCAGUAAGUCAUCGCUUUUUUUUUUUUGUGGUUUACUGUUUUUAUUUACAUUGUCAAAUUUAUUAGAUUGAGUGUGUAUUAACUCAUGUUUAGUUUCUAGUGAUGUGGGUUUGGGAUCGGACGACCAUGAUCACAGCUCAAAGACACCGGAAUCAGGGUAAUCUGGUUGUCAUAAUUUUACGGUUGUAAUUACUUUGUUUUUUGUGGACCAAGAUUUGCCUCGUUUAAUCUUAUUGAUGAGGUGGAAUAUCCGAUGGUUUGUAUACGUAGAAAUAAGAAAUGUGGCCCAUGGAUAUCUGAUGGCUUUUGCUUGUGAAAUGGUAGAUUUCUGUAUAUUCUUUGUAAAAUAAGAGAUUCAAUAAUAUGUUGUAAUUAAAUCAUAUUUAUACAAUUUUUGCACCCAGCUUUGUUUUUAAUGUAACAGAUAAUAAUAAUUGGCAGAAUCAAAUCUAAUAUGGGUACCACUAUUAACCAAUUUAGUUACAAAUUUUUUUGCUAUGGGGCUCGUUCCAUUGAAAAUUUGAUUUGGAAUUUCAAAGACAUUGACAAUUAGUUGAGGUAAUUGUGAAAUCCCGCUCUUAGAUUUCAUUGUUAUAAUCUACGUAUUUGUAUUAUUGAGAUUUUAUACUAUUUUUUCGAGGAUUUAAAUUAAUUUUAUAUUUUAAUUACUUAAGUACAAAGUUGAACUUUUGAAAAAUAAUCAUUUAUAAUCCGUAGACCUUCAAGGGUCACUCUUUAUGUUUUUUAAUUUAGCCUGACAUUACGAGCGCGUAGGCGAAGGCUGUUCGUGAAUCGAGACGAGGAAGGAGAAGUUACGGACGUUAGAAGUUUCUUAAAUAAAAUAUGAAUUUAAGAUUAUUGGGGUUCCCAUUAAUUUGGAAGGGGACCAAUUAGAAAAGAAAGAAAGAAA